rnacentral:piRNA from 1 species
UAGUUCUUAGUGUUAAUGAUUUGGUCC